AUGGCCGCGCCGCCGGAGACGACGGGCGCGCCGUCCCCGCCGGAAGGGGAGCACAAGGGCAACGCGGGCGUCGAGGUCUGCUGCUUCGAGCAAUCUGCAGAGGACUUCUCCAGAGCGGUACGCGCCAUCUCAGAGCUCGCCGCCGGCAAGCCCGAGCCGGGCUUCCCCAACGCCGAGGCGGAGCGGCUCGCCUCCUCGAUAACGUUCCUCAGAGAAUGGAAGCAUUUUAAUUAUGAGCCAAAAGGUGUAAGUUUUACUUACGGCACUGGAUCAACUUCAUCCAGAGAUGACACACAUGAGAUUACCUUACCACAAUUCUCGUCUGCAUCUGUUCCUCAGUGCAAAUCAAUGCAGGUCGCACACUUGGAAGAUGGGAGGGAUAAUAAUACAUACAGCUCUGACUUCAUUUUAUUCGCUGGAGGGAAUGUUUGGUCGUUGGACUGGUGCCCGAGGUUGUGCGACAAGCCUUCUUCUCCCGUAAAUUGCGAGUAUCUUGCUGUUGCUGCUCAUCCUCCUGGUUCUUCUUACCAUAAAAUUGGUAUGCCACUGAUUGGCAGAGGCAUCAUUCAAGUUUGGUGUAUUGUAGCACCCUUUGAAGAGGCACAUACUGAUCAGUCAAUGCUUGCAUACAGUAACAGCAAUCGUAGAGGAAGGCCUAGAAAAAUACCAAACGAGAACAAUUCAAUUGAGAGUUCAUCAGUUCCUCGAAAACCAAUAGGGAGACCGAGAAAGAUAAAACUGACGACUGGGGAUGAUUGCACAGAACCUAGUAGUCUGAAAAAACCAAGGGAUCACGCAGAACCUAGUCUGAAAAAACCAAGGGGCAGACCAAGAAAAUAUCCACUGUCAGUUGCCAAAGCGGUAGAUUCAACAAAAAAUAGCGGAAGUCCAGGUUCUAGUUUUGUUGACCCUCUUGUCACUUCAGGAGUUAUUCCAGGCGAUCUUGCAUUAUCUUGUGCUAUACCAUCUGUGAAGCCUGUGGAAUCAGCUCCAAAAAAAGGCAGGGGUCGACCUAGGAAAAUCCCAAUUGACAAAAUAAAGUGUUCGCCUGACACUGAAUGGACAGAAGAUAUCUCUAGAGCUCUAAUAUGCUGCACGAAACCAAAGAAAAAAAGGGGGAGGCCCCGGAAAUAUCCACUCCCAAGCAGCAGCAAGCAUGUUUCUGGCACUGAUACUGAAUUUGAAAGAGAAACUGGAUACACGGAGUCUAAUUCUAAUUUAAGUCUUGUUACAGUUGAUGCAGAACUACCAGUUCCAUCUUCAUCUCUUACAAUUUGUGGGAAAAGAUCAAGAGGUCGGAAGGGUAGAGGACGACCUAAAAAGGAAACAAAUCCUUGUGCACUUUCUUCGUCAGUGGUUUCUGGUGUCCAAUCACAGAGUAGGGAGACCAUUUCAAAUAAUCCAGCACACUCUGUUGAGAAUCAUUUGCCAUAUGGACACUCUAGUUUGACAAGUGAGCUUAGUUCGAUUGGCAUGCUAAGAUGUGAUGGCAAUGUGCACACAGGCCCCACUUUAGAAGAUUCCUUGCUGCCUAUGCAUAUUGCAGCUAAAUCAAAUGGCGAGGAAUCAAGUGGUAGUAGGAGACGAGGACGUCCUAGAAGGAAGACACUUUCAAAUACAAACAGUUGUUUAUUUGCUUCUGGUACCGAGUCCUCAAAGGCGGCUGCUACAAUUACCAAUUUGGACAAUCCCAUGGCUUUGACCAAGAGUGACGGUGAAGCUAUAGCAAGCGAUCUUGCUUCAAUUGGUUCGUUGAGGUGUCAUAUAGGAAAGUGCAAUGUCAAUAUGAGUGUUGUAUCAUCUGAUGCCACAUCACCAACACAUGGCUUGUGUAAUGCAAAUUACAAGGAAAAAUUAAGUGCCCAACAUAGAAAGAAGUCUGUUUCAGUAGAGUGUAGUUCUUCAACUGCAUUAUGCGGCAAAGAACAAAACAAUCAGACAACUCCCCAGUCAAAUGAUAAUGUGGCCUCAGUCCAAAAUUGUAAGAAAGAAUUAAUUGUCUACACCAGAAGGCGUGUACGAGGACCUACAAAGAAACCUGCUUCAAAUGAGACCUGCUCACUAGCUCUUAGUGGUGACGCGCAGAAGAUGGAGAGAUCCUCCAUGUAUAUCAUGCCAAAUAAUAAUUUGUCUUCUGUUGAGAAUCCCAAGCUACUGGGUUCAUCUAUAAGUGAAGACAUGGCUAAUGAGGCUGGUUUGGUUGGAUGUAAGAGUGCACUUGCUAACCAUGAAGUUGUGGAAAUGAAUGAUAGUGAAGCUGCCAACAAAGUUGUGCCUGUUCCUUCUGAAAACAGUGCCCAGAUCAUUGUUGUGGAAGAUACAGAAGUAGUUCCAUCCAAAGAAUCAAGUAAAAAUGAUAUUAUUACUUGUGCAGAAAACUCAAACUUUUCUGCAAUCCCCAAAGGCAUUCAUCUACCAAGGGUCGUCUUGUGUUUAGCUCAUAACGGCAAAGUUGCUUGGGACAUCAAAUGGAAGCCUCCUUUACCAAAUCAGUCAGAACAGAAAUCACAUUUGGGUUUUCUUGCAGUACUGUUGGGAAAUGGCUCACUUGAAGUAUGGGAAGUUCCAUCUCCAAGCAUGAUCCAGAAAAUAUAUUCCUCUUCUUCAGUGAAGGGCACCGAUCCUCGCUUUCUAAAGCUGCAACCUGUAUUUAGAUGUGCUAAAGUUAAGUGCGGAAACAUACAGAGCAUUCCCUUGACAGUUGAUUGGUCGCCUUAUCCUCAUGAUAUGAUAUUGGCAGGAUGUCACGAUGGAACGGUUGCUUUAUGGAAGUUCUCUACAGACUUGCCAUCACAAGAUUCAAAACCUUUUAUGUGUGUCACUGCUGAAUCUGUUCCCAUCAGAGCCCUCUCGUGGGCACCAUAUGUAAGUGAGGAAAACACAAAUAUCUUCGUCACUGCUGGAGAGGAUGGCCUAAAAUUCUGGGAUUUAAGAGAUCCAUACCGUCCUCUGUGGGAACUAACCACUGCCCCAAGGGCUGUUUUAAGUCUUCAUUGGUUAAAGGAGGCUAGAGGUAUUGUCAUCUCACUGGAAGAUGGCACAUUGAAGUUCCUCAGCCUACCUAGAAUUGCCAAUGAUGUUCCAGUCACCGGAAGGCCAUUUGCUGGGACUAAAACUCAGGGCGUUUCUACUUAUCAGUUGUCAGAAUAUUUGAUAUGGAAUGUCCAUGUCUCAGAAAUUACCGGUUAUGCGGCUUAUUGUGUGGCAGAUGGUACUGCUGUGCGCUUCCAGCUUACUUCGAGAUUCUGGGAGAAGGAACCUGGGAGGAACCGUGUGCCCUAUUUCCUUUGUGGUUCGCUAGCAGAGGAGGGGACAGCCAUUAAGAUUGGUGGAACAUUGCAAAGCCCUCCUAUGUCAAACGUUCCUCUGGUUGCAAAAAAGGGCCCAAAACCAUGCCAAAAAGUACCUAAAGCCCACGAUACACAAAAAGAGCAAGUACUAACCCUCACCAACUCAGAACAUGUAGAUCCAGAACCCAGAGAGGGCCGAGAAGAUGGACCUGAUAAAGGCCAAGAGACUCUGGUUUUAGCUGAUUCUCUAAUGCUAGAGAAUGGUGGCACAUGCAAUGUCCCAGCUGAUGAAGACACUAAAAACUUUGAGCUCUUCCCUCCCAAAGCUGUAGCGCUGCAUCGACUGAGAUGGAAUAUGAACAAAGGUAGCGAGAAAUGGUUAUGCUACGGAGGCGCCGCAGGCAUCAUUCGUUGUCAGAGGAUCUAA
rnacentral:rRNA from 1 species